rnacentral:lncRNA from 1 species
AAUCCUACUCUCCGAUAUAUAACUAGACUCAAAACAAUUUUUCACUAGACUCAACUCGGCCAGGUUCGAUCAAUCAAGGGGGCUCCUAGGUCGAUCCUGCUGUGAUACCAACUUGCAACGCCCAAGGUGCGAUCCUAUCUUUAUUUUGGCAAUAGCGCCUCGACAAGGAUAGAAGCACAUCUCGUCAUUUUGCAAGAAUGGAUAUCGAUACAAGUACAUGUACUGAAGAGAUGAGUAUAUGGAAUUGGCUUACACUUGCCACAAGCUACAUCAAGUUCACAUCAAUAGAACAAUAUACAAUCAUCAUGACCAAGAGCAGGGUCCGACUAUGGACCAAAACGAACGACAAAAGAACGACGUCCAUCCUUGCUAUCCCAGGUUACCGGCCUGUAACCCAUCCUAGAUCGAUGAUGAAGAAGAAAAACUUCAAAUAACACAAUCAUCGCGCUCACAUCUUAAUAUCACUUUACCUGUACCUGCAACUGGUGUUGUAGUAAUCUGUGAGCCACAGGUAACUCAACAAUCUCAUUUCCAAAGGUAUCAAGACUAGCAAAGCUUAAUGGGUGAGGUAUGGUUAAGUGGUGAGGCUGCAGCAAGUGACUAAGCAUUUAUUUGAGGUGGAUAACUUAUGAGUACAAAAACAAAAGAGGGGGAUGAUCUACGCAUAGAGGAUGUGAACUACUGAUGAUCAAACGAAUGAUCCUGGACAACUACUUACGUCAAACAUAACCCCAUCAUGUCCUUGAUCGGAGAAGGAGCUCACGAAAGAGACAUUCGCGGUUAUGCACUCAGUUGUCAAGUUUUAAUUAAGUUUACUUGAAGUUAUCUAGAACCGAAUGUUAAACUAAGUUCCCAAGUUGCCACAUCAUCGCGGGAACAGCUUUACAAAAGAUUUAACCCUGCAGGGAUGCUCCAAAUAGGCCAUCACAAACUACCACACACUACGCCGGAAUGACCUUGAUUAGGAAAACCCGUGAUCUCCUCGGGUUCCUAUUAGGAAACCUCAUCCUCGAGAAGUAUCCUCGGAAUCCAUGCACGAGACGCUCGAGAAAGGUAAAAGAAGUCCAGCAAAGCCGCCCGACGUGUUGACGAUCCCGAUAGGAACCACGUAUCUCGUUCUCAGGACACGACGGAUGGCCGAAGCAUACGGUAGCCUGAUAGACAUCUCCCGAGUUGCCCCGGAUUGACCCCGCACGGUGCUCUGUUUUGGACUGGCACCAGCAGCACGGGCCCCUGUAUUAUGUUAAAUUACUCCUUGUGUUCAUGACGCCCUAUGUUGUUUAGUAUUAUUAUGUUGGACAAAUAGAGUACCAAUGUUGGGCCUUGCCAGACGAGUUUUAUCCCAAAACGAAAAUCUAGGGGGUUUCCAUAACAAGCCAAGCAUGUUAGGAGCGCUCAUUUAUGGAACAUAACACCGGUAGCCGAAACUAAGGCGAUAAAGGUGGAACAAAACGUCAGGCUAGAAGGCAAAGCCUUCCAACUUUACCAAGUAUAUAGGUGCAUUGGAUUAAUUGGCAAUAAUCUGGUGAUAUAACAAGAAACUCAUGUUGGUACAUGGAAGCAACUGCACCUGCAACGAGCAACGCUAUGAAAAGGUUGAGCAAGUGGUAACUUAGCCAAACAAGGUUUGCUGGUCAGUGGAGAGAUUAGAGGUUUUCAUGGCAAUGUUGGGAGGCUGGUAUUUAACAGGUGAUAAACAGCGAGACAUAGCAAAAUAAACAAGACAACUAGCAUGACAAUGAUAGUAAUGGUAUCUAGGGAAAUGAUCAUAUUUCUGUGAUCUAGCUUGGAAGAAGAAUGAAUCCGUGAAGCAAACGAACCAACGUAGUCGAACAAAUCCUCACAUUCCGACACGCUUGCCGAACUCUAUCGAGACGAAGCAAACCGGAAACAAGAAUUAACACACGAUAUUCACCACAAAAAAAACACGAUAUGACGAACCAAUUAAUAUGAUGCAUGUCCAUGUCAAUUUUGAAAGGCAUGAUAUGGUAAUUCACAGCAAUCAAAAACUACACAUUAAAUGAAGCUCAAUAUGCAACGAGUUGCAUAUUGACAAAACUCCACAUUUCAAUUAUUUAGUUCGCUCCCGUUUAGGUACACGGCAAUAUUAAAUGUUGUUUAAAAAUGUCAAGGGGUGAAGCAUAUGAUUCUACAUAGCAUUCUAGUCGGUUUACAUCUUAGAACAUUUGACUGGAGCUACGCUCUACCAGAUACGUGCAACACAAUAUACUAUGUCAUGGAUGCAAGACACAUGCAAAUGACAACCACGACACAUUCCAGUUCCGAUAACUCGAUCAGAUACCAAUACAAAUGAAUUGAGAGUGUGAGCGUGCCUAAAAAUGAUGGAUGAUCCCAGUUACCGAGUUCCAUGCGCCGAAGGCAUGAAUAUGGAUAUACAUGCAACUAACAUUUCAUCUAGGAAAUGUCGAACUCGAAACUCAUACAACAAUACAAAAUCUACAGAGCUGAAAUAAAAUAAAAUAUGCAGGGCCCGAAGCAUCAUAGUGCACCGGUCGAGAAGUAGAUUAGGCCCAAGGAACUGAGGGUGUGCAUUUAGACAAAACAUGACAAAGUAAAAUUGUCGAACUCGGCACCUCGAGCUUCAAAGUUGGCUGCUCUAGCCAACUGGGAUACCGAUAUGCUCGUGGUGAAAAGUGGUGGUUAAUCUAAAUAAGCUCAACAACCCGGACGGACCUAGUCAAAAGAAACAGAGAUCAAAUUCGGAUGAGACAACUUACAACUGGGAAUGAAGAGGCCGGCGGCCAUGACUAUGCUAGUAGGCCCGAGGGAGUCGGCCCUCCGGGUCUGGUGGCUGGGGACAAACAUAUAGGCUGCCGGACGGGGCAGUCUAGGAGUCCUGAAUGUGCGGACGCUACGAGCGCGUUCGCUACGCUGGGGCUCCUACUCGAUGCACAGAGCUGCACAGAAUGCUCUGAGAUGCAGGUGAGCGAAUGUUGCGGGCGAUCUGGGGCUUGGGCACGGGAAUGAUGCAGGGGCAAACGGAGGCGACCGAAGUCUACGCGGGAUCGAGGCCCACCUGGCCGAUGCGGUCAGCGCUCGACGAUCGAGCGUUGCUGCUGUCCGUUCAUGGUUGUGCCAUGGUUGGAAGGAGGCGGCACAUGUGGUGGCUUGGAGCGACGGCGAGGCAUGGAGCGACCGGGAAUGGGAGGAUCCGGGGACAGGGACACCGGAUCUGGGCGAGGUUCGACGGAUCCGGCUAGUUCCCAUGGUGGCGACGUCGGGGCUUCGAUGGGCACGGCUUGAAACAGAGAGAGAGAGAGAAAUUAGAGAGAGAGGUCGAGCAGAGGGAGAGAGAGAAGGCAUGGGGGCGGUGAUGUGACCUGGUUGCUGCUAACCGACGAGGCUGCACAAAGCGCUCGGGGACAUGUGCGAGCGCAAGACGAGGGACACGGUCGGGGCGCAGGAAAUUUAUACUCCUAGAUCACUACGUUCUCGACAGAAUGGGUGGCGGCAGCGCGUACGGGACAGAUCUCCCAG